rnacentral:rRNA from 1 species
GCAUGCAUGUCUAUGCACAAGCCGAAAAUGGUGAGCCGCGAAUGGCUCAUUACAACAGCCACUGUUUACUUGAUCUUGAUUAUCCUACUUGGAUAACUGUGGUAAUUCUAGAGCUAAUACAUGCCAAGAUGCUCUGACCUUGCGGGACGAGCGCACUUAUUAGACCAAGACCAAUCGGGCUUCGGCUCGUAGUCUGGUGACUCUGAAUAACUCUGCCGAUCGCACGGUCUUUGUACCGGCGACGCAUCUUUCAAGUGUCUGCCUUAUCAACUUUCGAUGGUAGUUUCUGUGCCUACCAUGGUUGUAACGGGUAACGGAGAAUAAGGGUUCGACUCCGGAGAGGGAGCCUGAGAAACGGCUACCACAUCCAAGGAAGGCAGCAGGCGCGCAAAUUACCCACUCUCAGCGCGAGGAGGUAGUGACGAAAAAUAACGAGUCGGUUCUCAUUGAGGCCCGAUAUCGGAAUGGGUACAAUCUAAACCCUUUAACGAGGACCUAUGAGAGGGCAAGUCUGGUGCCAGCAGCCGCGGUAAUUCCAGCUCUCAAGGUGUAUAUCGCCAUUGCUGCGGUUAAAAAGCUCGUAGUUGGAUCUGCGUUUUCGGACUCGGUCCGCCCAAGGGUGUGAACUGAGCUCCAAGACUUUAUGGCUGGUUUUCCCUUGAUGCUCUUCACUGAGUGUCCUGGGUGGCUAGCGAGUUUACUUUGAAAAAAUUAGAGUGCUCAAAACAGGCUAUUCGCCUGAAUAUCAGUGCAUGGAAUAAUAGAAUAAGACCUCGGGUCUAUUUUGUUGGUUUUCGGAACCGAGAUAAUGGUUAAGAGGGACAGACGGGGGCAUUCGUAUCGCUGCGUGAGAGGUGAAAUUCUUGGACCGUAGCGAGACGCCCGACUGCGAAAGCAUUGCCAAGAAUGUCUUCAUUAAUCAAGAACGAAAGUCAG